rnacentral:tRNA from 1 species
GCGCCCAUAGCUCAGUUGGAUAGAGUGUUGGUUUCCGAAGCCAAAGGUCACAGGUUCGAAUCCUGUUGGGCGCGCCA